GACAGAGGGUGCAAACGUUGUUCGGAAUUACUGGGCGUAAAGCGCAUGUAGGCGGCUCGGAAAGUCGGAUGUGAAAGCCCAGGGCUCAACCCUGGAAGUGCACUCGAAACUCCCGAGCUGGAGUCCCGGAGAGGAAGGCGGAAUUCUCGGUGUAGAGGUGAAAUUCGUAGAUAUCGAGAGGAACACCUGUGGCGAAGGCGGCCUUCUGGACGGUGACUGACGCUGAGGCACGAAGGUCAGGGGAGCAAACGGG
rnacentral:rRNA from 1 species